UCGAGAAUUUUUCACAAUGGGCGAAAGCCUGAUGGAGCGACGCCGCGUGGGGGAUGAAUGGCUUCGGCCCGUAAACCCCUGUCAUUUGCGAGCAAACCUCUUCUGAUAAUACCGGAAGAGUUGAUAGUAGCGAAAGAGGAAGGGACGGCUAACUCUGUGCCAGCAGCCGCGGUAAUCCAGAGGUCCCAAGCGUUGUUCGGAUUCACUGGGCGUAAAGGGCGCGUAGGUGGCUGGGUAAGUUCGGGGUGAAAUCUCCAGGCUCAACCUGGAAAUGGCAUUGAAUACUAUUCAGCUCGAGGGUUGUAGGGUGGACUGGAAUUCUCGGUGUAGCAGUGAAAUGCGUAGAUAUCGAGAGGAACACCAGUGGCGAAGGCGAGUCUCUGGACAACUCCUGACACUGGGGCACGAAAGCUAGGGGAGCAAACA
rnacentral:rRNA from 1 species